rnacentral:rRNA from 1 species
UACGUAGGGCGCAAGCGUUAUCCGGGAUUAUUGGGCGUAAAGAGCUCGUAGGCGGCUCGUCGCGUCGGCUGUGAAAACCCGCAGCUCAACUGUGGGCUUGCAGCCGAUACGGGCGGGCUUGAGUUCGGUAGGGGAGACUGGAAUUCCUGGUGUAGCGGUGAAAUGCGCAGAUAUCAGGAGGAACACCGGUGGCGAAGGCGGGUCUCUGGGCCGAAACUGACGCUGAGGAGCGAAAGCGUGGGGAGCGAACAGG